rnacentral:rRNA from 1 species
CUAGCUGUAAACGAUGGAUACUAGGCGUUGAGAGUAUCGACCCUCUCAGUGUCGUAGCUAACGCGUUAAGUAUCCCGCCUGGGGAGUACGUGCGCAAGCGUGAAACUCAAAGGAAUUGACGGGGGCCCGCACAAGCGGUGGAGUAUGUGGUUUAAUUCGAUGCAACGCGAAGAACCUUACCAGGGCUUGACAUGUCCGGAACCCUGCCCAAAGGCGGGGGUGCCUACGGGAACCGGAACACAGGUGGUGC